rnacentral:lncRNA from 1 species
CACAUAAUUAUUGAUACGCUACUAAACCACGGGUCUAUCGUGUGCCCUUUAAUACAUGUUGAUACAUACCAAUAAAGAUAAUUGGCUAAGUUCGGAAAAAAGACAUACAUAAAUUUUAUACAUUCCCUGUGUGAACUAUGUGCUUUCGAUUGUGUAUACAAUCUAUUCGAUAUUUUAUUUAUCAACGCAUUAUGUAUUCGAUUAAGUUGUGUAAUGGAAUAUCUUUGUGAAAGUUCGAAACAAAAAGAUUCUUCCGCUUUGUGUGUGCAUGAUGAUGUAAUUGUAUUUACAAGUCUGCCAAUUUUAUAAGACAAAAUUUCAACCGGGAUAUAAGUUAUUUGUGUAUUAUACACUUCUACACUGCUUUGCAUCUUUAGCUCAACAAAUUGAAUCUGAAGUUUAUCAAGUGUUGGAUUGUAUAAAUAUGUGUGCGGUUUUUCAAUCAAUUGUUUUGGAUUAUAUAACCAUGAGUGGUUCAUGUGACCAUAUCUAUAUUUUGCAGGUAAGUAACUAUUUUUUAUAAACAUUUUAUUAUCGUAUGUUUUAUUGAAUUUCAGGUGUUGUUGAGAAAAUGUUGUACUGAGACUAACGAAUCUCGUGUAUGGCUUAUCGUUGAUUGACACUGCGUGUUGUGUUACUAAAAAUAGCAUAGGUAAAAACCCAAAUAGUCUACUUGUUUUGAUAAUAUUGAACAGCUGAUUUCUAAAAGUUUGUUCUAUACAAGAUUGUUCUAUACGAGAGUCAUUACUAUAACUUUCAAUAGUUUUGUAGCAAUUUGUACAUAUUGAUUUUACUACUAAGUCG